CAAACCAAAGCUGGCGACCGGCGCACGGGUGAGUAACACGUAUCCAACCUGCCUCAUACUCGGGGAUAGCCUUUCGAAAGAAAGAUUAAUAUCCGAUAGCAUAUAUUUCCCGCAUGGGUUUUAUAUUAAAGAAAUUCGGUAUGAGAUGGGGAUGCGUUCCAUUAGUUUGUUGGGGGGGUAACGGCCCACCUAGUCAACGAUGGAUAGGGGUUCUGAGAGGAAGGUCCCCCACAUUGGAACUGAGGCACGGUCCAA
rnacentral:rRNA from 1 species